GAGGCGGCCGCGCGGGGCCCGCUCCCCUGGACGCCCUCCCCCCUCAAGUGCCGGCGCGGCCCCGCGACUCCGCCGCCCCAAGUUCGCCCGCGGCCGCACGAGAACAAACGCGUCCUGCGCUCGGCGCACAGCGAGUUGGUGUUUUUACGGCCUCAGGGCACACAGCCCCAAACCCUAAUGAUCCACAGCUCCCCAGUGACAUCUUUUGUGUUGGAGAAACCAGGACAGACUGAGAUGAGCGUUCCGAACUCCUGGGAGAGACUCUGAUCUGCCCAGCUCAGGCCAGGAGGACACUCUUCACUCAGUAUGUUGUGUGAUAACAGACUGAGGAAAUGGCAGACACGCUUGGAAAAUCCAGAAUAAUAGGAACUCAAAACCAUCAUUGGUGAAAGAGGUUAUCAGUCCAAGAAGAUGUCACUCCAGUCAGAUGUGGAUGAAGCAUCAUUAGAUGGACCAUCUGGAUUUCACGCCUACCUACGCUCUAGACCUCAUGUGAUAACUGAAUGUCCCUGGGCUGUCUGACCUGCAAUUGUAUUGCACUGUUAGUACAGUGCUUGCCACCUACAAGGAUGUUGUGACAACUGCUAAAGUAGAUGAUAUGAAGCAUUCUUAGCAAUUCAAAAGAAGGGUGCUGCAUAACUACCGAAAAUCACUAUACAGGCUCUCCGGUGCUAGACAAAGCCAGACCAGACUGUGAGGGAGAUCUGCCUGCAGCACCUGUCACCCCAUGGGUCCUCCGGAGAUAUAUGGAUGAUGACUGAUAGAGCUGGCCAGGCAGGUUUCACCUCCUCCCACGUGCUGCGCAGGGAUCUCUCCAAAGCUGAGCCCUCGGUGGAAGAGCAAAACCUUUACAGACAGAGGUGUGAAGGUCAGCUUUCAGCAGUGCGCUUUGUGUGACCUGCAGCACUUGGAGUGGUUCCAUGUGGCAUCGCUGUAUCGGCAAGAUGCUGGACAUAAGUAGUUCUGCUUCAUGUUUUUGUCUUCUAUGAAACCACCGCCCACCAUUGAGGCUGAAAAUGCCAGACAUUCACUCCACCCAGUUUAAUAAGGGCAUGGGCUAGUCACUUGCUGACGGGACUGACAAGGGAGCCAGCUCAAAGGGUGAAGGUGAGAGCUUCUAAGAAAGGCUUUACUUCCUUCUUCAAGAGAUGAAAGGAGAGAUAAUUCUGCCUUUGGUUACAGUUGCAUGAGGACCAGUAUCAGCAGCCCUGGCAGCCUUUUUCAAUUAUGAGGAGAAAAGCUUGAGGACAAAGUCCACCAAGCUGAGAGCAGUGGAAUAGAAAGCUGAAAACAGCCUGAGACCUCGGUAGCACGCUGAAGCUACUGAAGCAACCUGCCCUGGGACUUAUUUCCAUGUGACAUAAUAAGUGUCUUCAUUGUUUAAGACACUGUUAGUUGGAAAUUCUAUUACUUGUAGUUGGAAAUAUCCUAACUAAUGCAUACUCUGAUAAUAUAGGUAGACGUCUGGAUCCAGUCAGUAAGGACAGGGUAUAAAUCAAAGCAAACAAAUGUAAUUGAGUUGGGGGGAAAUUACUGAAAUGUCCAAAAUAAUUAUUAUUCUUUUUCAUUGAGUUUUGCAGACUUUGCUUAAUGCAAGCAAAAAUUAUAUCUAAUUUCAAGCAGAUAGACUUUAUAGGCAAGAUAUGGUUAACAUUAGCAAACCUUAGAAGGAUAUUAUUGAAUUAUUUAUAUUUUCCACUUUUCAUAACCUCUGUUGAAACAUGACUAAUCUAGAAAUUAUGAUUUUGUUAUUAGAAACAGCUCAGAACAGAUAGACUCUCUUGUGUCAAUUUU